rnacentral:rRNA from 1 species
GCCGGCGACCGGCGCACGGGUGCGUAACGCGUAUGUAACCUACCUAUAACAGGGGCAUAACACUGAGAAAUUGGUACUAAUUCCCCAUAAUAUUCGGAGAGGCAUCUCUCCGGGUUGAAAACUCCGGUGGUUAUAGAUGGACAUGCGUUGUAUUAGCUAGUUGGUGAGGUAACGGCUCACCAAGGCAACGAUACAUAGGGGGACUGAGAGGUUAACCCCCCACACUGGUACUGAGACACGGACCAGACUCCUACGGGAGGCAGCAGUGAGGAAUAUUGGUCAAUGGACGCAAGUCUGAACCAGCCAUGCCGCGUGCAGGAAGACGGCUCUAUGAGUUGUAAACUGCUUUUGUACGAGGGUAAACUCACCUACGUGUAGGUGACUGAAAGUAUCGUACGAAUAAGGAUCGGCUAACUCCGUGCCAGCAGCCGCGGUAAUACGGAGGAUUCAAGCGUUAUCCGGAUUUAUUGGGUUUAAAGGGUGCGUAGGCGGUUUGAUAAGUUAGAGGUGAAAUCCCGGGGCUUAACUCCGGAACUGCCUCUAAUACUGUUAGACUAGAGAGUAGUUGCGGUAGGCGGAAUGUAUGGUGUAGCGGUGAAAUGCUUAGAGAUCAUACAGAACACCGAUUGCGAAGGCAGCUUACCAAA